rnacentral:rRNA from 1 species
CCUGAGAAACCCGAAAGAUCGAAUGGGGAGAUUCACCGUCAGCGACGUCGGUUUCGCGGUGGUUCGCGAUGCGCGGCGCCCUUCACGGGCGACGUCGCACGCGGCCGCCGUGUUCAUGUCCGGCGGCGUCGGCGUGCACUUCUCCCCUAGUAGGACGUCGCGACCCGUUGGGUGUCGGUCUACGGCCUGGGUCGUCGCCUGUCCCGUCGCUUCGGCGUUGCGGGGCAGACACCCGGUAGCCCGGCCGGCUGCCCGGCGGUACUCGCACGGUAUCUGGCCGCAAUCUCGAACUGCGUCUCAGGCCCGCCGCAAGCGCGGUCAGUGUAUACCCGGAGGUACGGACCCAGUGCCGUCACCGGGCCUGGCCCGCUGUUCGCCGGCGGUGUCCUCUGACAGGCCACGCGUUUCGUUGAUACCGGUCGGCGACGCUACUGCUUUGGGUACUUUCAGG